AUUCCAGCUCCAAUAGUGUAUAUUAAAGUUGUUGCAGUUAAAAAGCUCGUAGUUGGAUUUCUGGCGGGAGCGAUCGGUCCUUCACUCAGUGUUGGAACCUGAUUGUCUCCUGCCAUCCAUGGAGAAAACUUAUCUGGCAUUAAGUUGUCGGGUAGGCAAUCUCCAUCUUUUACUGUGAAAAAAUUAGAGUGUUCAAAGCAGGCUUAUGCCGUUGAAUAUAUUAGCAUGGAAUAAUAAGAUAGGACUAUGGUACUAUUUUGUCGGUUGGAGGCCAAGGUAAUGAUUAAUAGGGAUAGUUGGGGGUAUUCAUAUUUAAUUGUCAGAGGUGAAAUUCUUGGAUUUAUGAAAGAUGAACUUAUGCGAAAGCAUUUACCAAGGAUGUUUUCAUCG
rnacentral:rRNA from 1 species